rnacentral:rRNA from 1 species
AGUGAACGCUGGCGGUAGGCCUAACACAUGCAAGUCGAACGGCAGCACAGGAGAGCUUGCUCUCUGGGUGGCGAGUGGCGGACGGGUGAGGAAUACAUCGGAAUCUACCUUGUCGUGGGGGAUAACGUAGGGAAACUUACGCUAAUACCGCAUACGACCUUCGGGUGAAAGUGGGGGACCGCAAGGCCUCACGCGAUUAGAUGAGCCGAUGUCGGAUUAGCUAGUUGGCGGGGUAAAAGCCCACCAAGGCGACGAUCCGUAGCUGGUCUGAGAGGAUGAUCAGCCACACUGGAACUGAGACACGGUCCAGACUCCUACGGGAGGCAGCAGUGGGGAAUAUGGGACAAUGGGCGCAAGCCUGAUCCAGCCAUACCGCGUGGGUGAAGAAGGCCUUCGGGUUGUAAAGCCCUUUUGUUGGGAAAGAAAUCUUGCCGGUUAAUACCUGGCGAGGAUGACGGUACCCAAAGAAUAAGCACCGGCUAACUUCGUGCCAGCAGCCGCCGUAAGAC